CUUUAUCCUAUAUACCCUCUUAUAUGUGUUGCUGCUGCAGCUGUCAUCGAUAGCCUUCCUGACUUUUUUUUAUGAGCGGUAUAGAACCGAACAAUCUCUGCUCUACAAAAUGGCUAAAUACGUGAGACCGUUGCUUAUUGGCCUCAUUCUAUGCGUUUCUCACUCUAGGACGUUCUCUAUCAUAAAUGGUUAUGCUGCUCCUUUAGAGAUUUACAAGCACUUUGAACAUCAUUAUGAUGCAGGAUCAGGUGCAGUGGUGUGUGUGGGAAGUGAGUGGCACCGGUUCCCAUCAUCGUUCUUUAUUCCAGAC